UGAGGAAUAUUGGUCAAUGGACGAGAGUCUGAACCAGCCAAGUAGCGUGAAGGAUGACUGCCCUAUGGGUUGUAAACUUCUUUUGUUUGGGAAUAAAGUGAGGGACGUGUCCCUUUUUGUAUGUACCAUUCGAAUAAGCAUCGGCUAAUUCCGUGCCAGCAGCCGCGGUAAUACGGAAGAUGCGAGCGUUAUCCGGAUUUAUUGGGUUUAAAGGGAGCGUAGGCGGCCUGUUAAGUCAGCGGUUAAAUGUCAGUGCCCAACAUUGGCAUGCCGUUGAUACUGGUGGGCUUGAAUACACACAAGGAUGGUGGAAUUCGUUGUGUAGCGGUGAAAUGCUUAGAUAUGACGAAGAACUCCGAUUGCGAAGGCAGCCAUCUGGGGUGCGAUUGACGCUGAGGCUCGAAAGUGCGGGAAUCAAACAGG
rnacentral:rRNA from 2 species